rnacentral:rRNA from 1 species
GAUGAACGCUGGCGGCGUGCCUAAUACAUGCAAGUCGAGCGAACGGACGAGAAGCUUGCUUCUCUGAUGUUAGCGGAGGACGGGUGAGUAACACGUGGAUAACCUACCUAUAAUUCUGGGAUAACUUCGGGAAACCGGAGCUAAUCCCGGAUAAUAUUUUGAACCGCAUGGUUCAAAGGUGAAAGACGGUCUUGCGGUCACUUAUCGAUGGAUCCGCGCUGCAUUAGCUAGUUGGUAAGGUAACGGCUUACCAAGGCAACGAUGCGUAGCCGACCUGAGAGGGUGGUCGGCCACACUGGAACGGAGACGCGGUCCAGACUCCUGCGGGAGGCAGCAGUAGGGAAUCUGCCGCAGUGGGCGAAAGCAUGACGGAGCAACGGCGCGUCAGUGGUGGAGGUCUUCGGAUCGUAAAACUCUGUUAUUAGGGAAGAACAUAUGUGUAAGUAACUGUGGACAGCGUGACGGUACCUAAUCAGGAAGCCACGGCUAACUACGUG